rnacentral:rRNA from 1 species
UACGUAGGGUGCGAGCGUUGUCCGGAAUUAUUGGGCGUAAAGAGCUUGUAGGCGGUUUGUCGCGUCUGCUGUGAAAAUCCGGGGCUCAACCCCGGACUUGCAGUGGGUACGGGCAGACUAGAGUGUGGUAGGGGAGACUGGAAUUCCUGGUGUAGCGGUGAAAUGCGCAGAGAUCAGGAGGAAUACCGAAGGCGAAGGCAGUCUUCCAAGCCGUUAUUGACGCUCAACUGCGAAGGUGUGGGUAUCAAACAGGAUUAGAUACCCGUGUAGUCCCU